rnacentral:rRNA from 1 species
ACGGGUGCGUAACACGUAUGUAACCUACCUUGUUCAGGGGGAUAGCCUCUCGAAAGAGAGAUUAAGACCGCAUAACAUUAAGUUGUGGCAUCGCAAUUUAAUCAAAUAUUUAUAGGAACAAGAUGGGCAUGCGGAACAUUAGCUAGUUGGUAAGGUAAUGGCUUACCAAGGCUACGAUGUUUAGGGGAUCUGAGAGGAUGACCCCCCACACUGGUACUGAGACACGGACCAGACUCCUACGGGAGGCAGCAGUAAGGAAUAUUGGUCAAUGGGCGCAAGCCUGAACCAGCCAUGCCGCGUGCAGGAAGACGGCCCUACGGGUUGUAAACUGCUUUUGUACCGGAAUAAACCUUGAUUCGUGAAUCAAGCUGAAUGUACGGUAAGAAUAAGGAUCGGCUAACUCCGUGCC